AUACGGAGGUUGCAAGCGUUACUCGGAAUCACUGGGCGUAAAGGACGCGUAGGCGGGUUGGUAAGUCAGGUGUGAAAUCCUACAGCUUAACUGUAGAACUGCACUUGAAACUACCAACCUAGAGUAUGGGAGGGGGAGAUGGAAUUAGUGGUGUAGGGGUAAAAUCCGUAGAUAUCACUAGGAAUACCGAAAGCGAAGGCGAUCUCCUGGAACAUAACUGACGCUAAGGCGUGAAAGAGUGGGGAGCAAACAGGAUUAGAAACCCGAGUAGUCC
rnacentral:rRNA from 1 species